UCGAGCGUGGUGUACGGUACACCCUGGUUUUCUAUUCAUAUCAUUCACGGUAAGUGUAGCCAGCGUCCGGGGUUCGACUCCCCGCGUUCGAG